UCUACAAAAGUUAAAAUCUUGUUUUGCGAGAGCGGAUUAAACUUUAAUAUUUGGUAUACAAUACAUAAUUUAGACAAAAUAUUAACCGUAUAUCACUUUAAAAGUAAUUUUCUUCUAGUGAAAAAAUGUGUACAAUUAUUGAUGUACGCAAAUGACUUUCCACCAGUAGUAGUUAUGUUUAUAUGUCGUAUAGUUAAAUAUAUAACUAAUAUGGACAUCAGAUUCAGAGUAAAUGUAAGAUUUUCAUCUUAUUAUUAAAUAGAUAAUACAUAAUCAAUACAAGAAAUCUGGAAUAGGUGUCCAUCAAUACAUUUAGCAUAUUAGUUAUAGGUUAGUUAAUCAAGUCAUCUUGUUUGCUGUUGUUUUGAUUCUUUAGAAUCUUUGUCAUUAGAGAUGGUGGAGAUAGAUUACACUUUUUAUGACACUCGGAACACUCUCAACCAAAAGCUUUGCAAUGAGGACGGCAAAUAACAUUGCAUUCCAUCUCCGAUUUUGCUUCACCUUCGAUAACAAUCAAUGUUAGUAUCAUCAUCAUUAUCCAUGUCAUGCUCAAAAUUUUACUCAUCUUUCUGAUAUAUGUGCUUUUCUUCUUUUUAAUUUAUAUGAAUGAAUAUGUCAUGAUAUUGAACUU
rnacentral:lncRNA from 1 species